AACCAUUUGUUUAAAUUUCAAAGAUUUCUAUUUACUUAUACUAAAGUUAUGGUGCGAAAACCAAGAAUAAUGCUUACUUGGGACCCUUUUUGGCCCCUAAUUCCUAAACUGUUCAGACCUCAACUCCAAAAAUCAAUCCCAACCUUCCUUUUGUGGUCAUAAACCUUGUAUUUAAAUUUCAUUGAUUUCUAUUUACUUACACUAAAGUUAUUGUGCGAAAACCAAGAAUAAUGCUUAUUUGGGCCCUUUUUUGGCCCUUAAUUCCUUAACUGUUUGAACUAAAACUCCCAAAAUCAAUCCCAACCUUCCUUUUGUGGUCAUAAACCUUGUGUCAAAAUUU
rnacentral:lncRNA from 1 species